rnacentral:rRNA from 1 species
CGAACUGUGCGAACGUUAUUCGGAAUCACUGGGCUUACAGGGUGCGUAGGCGGCUUUUCAAGUCAGGUGUGAAAGCCCCCGGCUCAACCGGGGAACUGCGCUUGAAACUGAAAGGCUCGAGUCAGCUAGAGGUACACGGAACUUCCAGUGGAGCGGUGAAAUGUGUUGAUAUUGGAAGGAACACCGGAGGCGAAAGCGGUGUACUGGGGCUGGUCUGACGCUGAGGCACGAAAGCCAGGGGAGCGAACGGGAUUAGAUACCCCGGUAGUCCUGGCCGUAAACGAUGAGUGCUGGACGGGAGGGGGUUCGCCCUCUCCGGUCGGAGCGAAAGCGGGAAGCACUCCGCCUGGGGAGUAUGGUCGCAAGGCUG